rnacentral:piRNA from 1 species
UGUGCCAAUGGCUAAACAAAA